rnacentral:rRNA from 1 species
UACGUAGGCAGCAAGCGUUGUUCGGAGUUACUGGGCGUAAAGGGUGCGUAGGCGGCUUCUUAAGUCUGGUGUGAAAUCUCCCGGCUCAACUGGGAGGGUGCGCCGGAUACUGAGGGGCUAGAGUGUGGGAGAGGAAAGUGGAAUUCCUGGUGUAGCGGUGAAAUGCGUAGAUAUCAAGAGGAACACCAGUGGCGAAGGCGAGUCCCUGGACAACUUCUGACGCUGAGGCACGAAAGCUAGGGGAGCAAACAGG